CUUUUUUAAGGGGAUGCGAAGGAAUAAUAACCCUCUCACUGUGGAGAGCAUCAGGAGUCAAAAGUCAAGACUAUUACUAGCUUUCAUCUGAGAUAAUUCACGGGACUGCAGAAGCACAAGACCCAAGGGUACCAGGAGGCACUGAAAUCCUCACACAGUGAGAUUUUUUCCAUUCAAAUAUAAAGACACGAAUGCUGCAGUUGAAAGGAAUCCUCUCUCUAUACUGACUUCAUCCAUUCUUCUCCAGGAGAGUAAUGGUGAAAAUCAGAUCUUGGUGUGCUUGGAAGAAUGGAGGUGAGGAUGUUAUUAUUGACCUAGAGGUGGAGCAAUAGGAAGACUGGUCUUUGCACUGUGGACAGAAGUGACAGAUGAUCUGGCAAGAUGCAUUUGGUUUUCCAGGAACACAUGCUGAUAUCCUGUUUUGAUCCCUUUUCUUGGAAGCAUUGUAAGUAAAGAGACAGAUGUCCUGGAAAAGACUUCAAUAGAAUGCUGGUGAUCAUCUGAAGUAAUGGCCUGCAUGGUGGAGGGAACAGAGGCUACCUUGACUUUAACAUGAGGAAGGCAGAACGAGCACAGAAGUACAGAAGCUGGGAGAGACUCUUGGUUGACUCCAAACCAACCUUCUGCUCUGAGGAGUGACAUUUUUGGUCAUGAUGACUUUUGUGGGGAAACUGUUGCAUUGAGAUUAAACAGCAAGUCCUUGGUGGGUGAUAAAUAGACCAACGAAAUAUCAUUAGCAGAAAUUUAGAACAAAUAGUGAAAUGCAGUUCCCUUAAUACAUCAGUCAUUGCAUAUGUAGCAGUACAAUAUAAAGUAUUAGAGUGACCAAUUCUGCUACUUGAUUUCAAAAGGUGAUGCAGCUGCAAUGGGCUGUUUUUGCUGUGAACUCAUAUACUUUUUAAAGGAUGCUCCACCAAUACUAUCAGUUAUAGGUAGUUUUGUUA